rnacentral:rRNA from 1 species
GCUCAGGAUGAACGCUAGCGGCAGGCUUAACACAUGCAAGUCGAACGGUAACAGGUCCUUCGGGAUGCUGACGAGUGGCGCACGGGUGCGUAACGCGUAUGCAACCUACCUCUUACUGGAGGAUAGCCCGAAGAAAUUCGGAUUAACACUCCAUAAUAUUAUGAGAUCACAUUUAAUUAUAAUUAAAACUUCGGUGGUUAGAGAUAGGCAUGCGUCCCAUUAGCUAGUUGGUAAGGUAACGGCUUACCAAGGCAACGAUGGGUAGGGGGCCUGAGAGGGUGAACCCCCACACUGGUACUGAGACACGGACCAGACUCCUACGGGAGGCAGCAGUGAGGAAUAUUGCGCAAUGGACGAAAGUCUGACGCAGCCAUGCCGCGUGAAGGAUGAAGGCCUUAUGGGUUGUAAACUUCUUUUAUUUGGGAAGAAACCCUCGGACGUGUCCGAGGCUGACGGUACCAAACGAAUAAGGACCGGCUAACUCCGUGCCAGCAGCCGCGGUAAUACGGAGGGUCCAAGCGUUAUCCGGAUUUAUUGGGUUUAAAGGGUCCGUAGGCGGGCUUUUAAGUCAGAGGUGAAAGCCUACAGCUUAACUGUAGAACUGCCUUUGAUACUGGAAGUCUUGAGUAUAGUUGAAGUGGGCGGAAUACGUCAUGUAGCGGUGAAAUGCAUAGAUAUGACGUAGAACACCGAUUGCGAAGGCAGCUCACUAAGCUAUAACUGACGCUGAGGGACGAAAGCGUGGGGAGCAAACAGGAUUAGAUACCCUGGUAGUCCACGCUGUAAACGAUGAUAACUCGCUGUUAGCGAUACACAGUUAGCGGCUAAGCGAAAGCGUUAAGUUAUCCACCUGGGGAGUACGUUCGCAAGAAUGAAACUCAAAGGAAUUGACGGGGGCCCGCACAAGCGGUGGAGCAUGUGGUUUAAUUCGAUGAUACGCGAGGAACCUUACCUGGGCUCAAAUGUAGAGUGACAGAUUGGGAAACCAGCUUUCUUCGGACACUUUACAAGGUGCUGCAUGGUUGUCGUCAGCUCGUGCCGUGAGGUGUCGGGUUAAGUCCCAUAACGAGCGCAACCCCUAUUCUUAGUUGCCAGCGGAUAAUGCCGGGGACUCUAGGAAAACUGCCAGCGUAAGCUGUGAGGAAGGUGGGGAUGACGUCAAAUCAGCACGGCCCUUACGUCUAGGGCUACACACGUGCUACAAUGGUAUUGACAGAGGGCAGCUACAUCGCGAUGUGAUGCUAAUCUCGAAAGUCUAUCUCAGUUCGGAUUGGAGUCUGCAACCCGACUUCGUGAAGCUGGAAUCGCUAGUAAUCGCGCAUCAGCCAUGGCGCGGUGAAUACGUUCCCGGGCCUUGUACACACCGCCCGUCAAGCCAUGGAAGCUGGGGGUGCCUGAAGUCGGUCACCGAAAGGAGCUGCCUAGGGCAAAACUAGUGACUGGGGCUAAGUCGUAACAAGGUAGCCGUACCGGAAGGUGCGG